GGGCCCUGGAGGAAGUCUAAUCCUAUUGCUGAGAGACAAAAACACCAUCCUCAGAGCCAAAUGUCUCUCCAGAAAUACCAUGCCUGACCAUCCAGGCAGCAGCCACCAGCUCACUCCAUUAGCUACCACAAUUAAAGUAGCCCUGGCUGGGCAUCCCAGCUUAUUAAAUUGAAACGGAUGGUGCAUUAGUGGUAGCUGCAGGUCAGGGAAAGGUAACAUUAGAGGUAAUACACACAGAGAGAUGAGACCCCUUCAGAUCAGUUACUAUUGCAGUUUUAUAUUUUGAGAUGAAAAGAGUAAACCUGAUGUAGACUGUCAUGACUGGCCUGUUCGGGUCAGGUUACCGUAGACCAUAAUCCUACAGCGAUAUCUCUCACACCCACCAGCGGGAGAGAGAUAGAGAGUUAUGGAGGUGGGGGGUUUCAUUACACCUCCCACCCAUUGUAAAUCUUAAGGCAGCAGACAAAAUCCCCUUUGUCCUCUCAGUAUGGAGGGAUGGAAUGUAUGAUGGGCCUAUGGAGAAUCUACCUCUGAACAGUAACAUGUAAUAAAUGGACUUUGGGACAAUAUGUUUCGUGGCAAUAGAUGGAAUAUGAAAUGAUAUGAGUGUCAUUUUUGUUAUGUUAUUAAAAGUUAAAUGACGACGUUAUAACGAAAACAUUAUAACUUGAAGAGUUUUCACACUCAUGUACUUGAGGUUUGCAUACUGUACGUUGUGUGGAAAAUGUCCAGAUCAAAGAGAAUGUAUUUGUAAAGAUGUAAUGUGAAGUUAGUUGUCUAAAUUGGAUCUGAGUAAAAUCCAGACCUUGCAUCGUAGCUAGUUACGACCAGAGAACUUGCCCUAAAGGUGGAAACGCCAAUUUCUGACCCGAGGGUAUAAAACACAUGAGUUCAGAGCUAAUAUAGCAGACUAAGCAACCACGAGCUCCAGCCAAUGUCCGAAUUAGUUGCAUACCUAAAAUUCAACACAAGGUUGAAGAAGACAAAGGAACCUGAAGAGGGUUAAACCAAGGCCUCAUACCUUUUAAAGGGUUAAUAUAUUGUGCUAUGAUAAACUCUGUGUGUGUGUGUGUUAAAACCUGUUUCGAGUGUUGUGCCCUUCAGACACUAUCAGAAGACUGAAACCGCCUACAGUACGUUCAUACUCCUCCUGUCUGGGACCCACCAUGGUUAUCUGAGGUUCUGAAAAGACAAGGCUGCCGCAAGCCUGAUGAAAACAGCCACCUGUCAGAAGAUGCUUGGACUCGUUCACCUUGUUAUGACUCUAUACUUGUGAUGGAAGGUCAAGUUUCUGUCAACCCACUUCUGAGCUUUUAAUUGCUGAUAAGAUGGUUGCUGCUGUCAGGGGGAGGUUAGAUUUAUUAAAAUGUUGUUGUCAGGGAAACUCACGCAAGGAGGACUGGGAGAGGCUCCAUGAGUUACAGGAUGUCUUAGACAUUUUGCACAACCUGGGGAGAGCUAUUAUGUACUGUACUCUGUACCAACUUCUGCACACAAUUGUAUUACUAAAGGAGUAUUCUAAUACUUAAACAAAGAGUCUGUGUUUCCUUUCCAAUACUAAUGUAUGUUUGAUAAUUAUACAGACCUGAUCAUCUGUUGAAGAAAUUGACCAACAAAACCUUUUUACAAUCUAUGCUACGGAUGAGUAACUGUGUCUAAGAGGGUGAAUUCAAGCAGGACCACCGGGUCACCACUCUCCAAGGAAUCGUGUGUCUCAACUACUUUCAUUCCCACACUGGAACCAUCUCCACGGCUGAUUAGCCGUCCUCUGAAGAACCCUUUUCAGAGCAAGGACGAGGAAACAUUCCACUAAGAGUAAGGACACUGACAUCGUGAGGACAAACAGAGAGUUACACCUGGCAACCGAAGGUGUGCUGUCAUCAGAGAAGUCAGAACGCGGUCCACGAAGAGGCACCCCAUCAGAGACGUUCAAAACUGAAUUACAUCAUUAUAUUCUGACCCAUUAGAGCGGCAGUUCGGGGCAAGGGAACUGUUCUGUAGCUAUUGUCCCAGGGAACGUGGAGAGCUAUGUCGCUGUUCAACCCCUUGGUGUGGGCGCGAGAGUUGCUACGACAGAGCAGAAGCUCCUCCAGACUGGUGCUGGUGGUCGUGUGUGUUGCCCUGCUACUGGAUAACAUGCUGCUUACUGUUGUCGUGCCCAUCAUCCCAACGUUUUUACAUGCCCUGGAUCCCCCUACACAGGACACCUUCAUCCAGCAUGCAGAGGCUCUCUGAGGAGGGCUUCACAUUGACCUCAGUCCACUCCUUAUACGACAACACUUCCUACAGCAUCAGCUGCUCUGAGAGCAACCUGUCUGAGGCCCUCCUCUUCAACAUCUCCAGAAACUCCAGCCAGGUGAAAGGCAGCACAUGCCAGGAGGACAGUGCCUUCUUGGACAAGGAGAAUGUUCGUGUGGGACUCCUCUUUGCCUCCAAGGCUCUGGUGCAGCUUCUGAUCAAUCCCUUCGUGGGUCCCCUGACCAACAGGUUCAUGUUCUGGCUUCACAGCAAGUGUUUUUGUGUGUGUGACAAAAUCACAGCUAGCUAGGACAGUGUUCAACUUUGCAUUUAUUGAAAAUGAUUAAAUACAAUACACACUGGUUCUAAUCUUAUCCUUAUCUUUUCCCUCAAGAGUUGGACAUCACAUACCAAUGUUUGCUGUCUUUAUCAUCAUGUUUGUUUCAACAAUAAGUAUGUGUGCCUGACACUGACACACACUUCUAACUUGUUACACACAGUUGAUAAUGAGAUAUAAUUGAGGUAGUGAUCUCUAAUAUACAUACCAUGACUGUUUCACAACUCCAAUUGCGUCAUCUUUAGAUUUGAUUUUAUCUUACCACAGUGCAGUCAUGGUAACGGAGGUUGUGUCCUGUGGUUGUCAGUGUUUGCCUUCUCAUGUGCAUGCUCCUUGUUGUUUUUUGCUCGCUCUCUUCAGGGAAUUGGUUCCUCUUUCUCCUCCUGUGUUUCACAAAAACCUCCCCAGUGUUGUAAUAGAAUAUGAACCAUUUUGUCCGAGCAUCUUAACGUCUAAGUGAAAAGCAUGUCUUCUCCCGUAAGACUGGGAAUGUUGGCCAGUGUGUACACAAGUAAUGAGGAGAGAGCUAUGGGGAUCGCACUGGGUGGACUGGCCGUGGAGGUUCUCGUGUUACAUCUCUGCCAUCAAAGAUUUCACCAGAUAGUGUAGAUGGCACUCCUUUGCUGACCCUACUGAAGGACCCCUACAUUCUAAUUUGUGCAGGCUCUCUGUGCUUCGCCAACAUGGGAGUUGCCAUUCUGGAGCCCACACUUCCCAUCUGGAUGAUGCAGACCAUGUGCUCUCCCAAAUGACUGCUUGGUAUGGCUUUCCUACCAGCAAGCAUUUCUUACCUUAUUGGCACCAAUUUAACAAAACGUGAAGGUAGGUUUUCGUUGAUCCUCUCCUGGUUACUUCUAUUUGUUCCUAUCUAUCAAUUAUCAAUAUAUAAAAGUCUAGUCACUCAGAAAAUAAGUUCUCAUGUAAGCCUAUGGGGGUUGUGUGAAUCAGUGUUAGUGUCUGUGUGAAUGUGUGUGUGCAGGGACAGACUGCCCGAAAUGCUGGAUGUACUGGUCAAUUUUUUGCCCAGUGGUUCUGUCUAACUUGUUAUUUUUGCGCAAAAUGAUCAUUAUCUGGUCC